GUGCUUGCUUCGGCAACACGUAUACUAAAACUGAAAUGAUACAGAAAGAUUAGCAUAGUCCCUGAGCAAGGAUGACAUGCAAAUAAAAAUUUAAAAAUAAAAU
ensembl:snRNA U6 U6 spliceosomal RNA